AUAUCUCUCUGUACGGGAAGGAUGAGAAGCUUCGACUAAGGUUCGAUUCGAGCGAAAGCGAGAAAGCGUUGCCAACGGCAACGACCCGAAGGGC
rnacentral:sRNA from 2 species